rnacentral:rRNA from 1 species
GAUGAACGCUGGCGGCGUGCCUAACACAUGCAAGUCGAACGAAGCACUUUGGAUGGAGAUUCGUCAAAAUCUGAUUUGACUUAGUGGCGGACGGGUGAGUAACGCGUGAGGAACCUGCCUCGGAGUGGGGGACAACAGUUGGAAACGACUGCUAAUACCGCAUAACGUAUCUUUAUCGCAUGGUAGGGAUACCAAAGAUUUAUCGCUCUGAGAUGGCCUCGCGUCUGAUUAGGUAGUUGGUGGGGUAACGGCCCACCAAGCCGACGAUCAGUAGCCGGACUGAGAGGUUGAACGGCCACAUUGGGACUGAGAUACGGCCCAGACUCC